ensembl:lncRNA
GGAGUCACUUAUGCUGCUUGUAUCCUUCUCAUAUGGGGCAAACUCCAGGAGAUGGUGAAGGACAGGGAAGCUUGGCGUGCUGCAGUCCACGAGGUCUCAAAGAGUCAGACACGACUUAGCGACUGAACAACAACUGCUCAGCAAAACUUUUUACCAUAAUUUGAAUGGAUGCGACAUUUAAAAUAUCAGUCGUUUCUUCAGAAACAGACUCACAGACAGAAGAGAACAGUGUGAUUGCUGAGGAGAAGGGGUUAUAUGGAUCGGAAGUUUGGGAUUUGCAGAUGCAAACUACUCUAUAUAGAAUGGAUAAAACAAGGUGGGGAACUAUAUUCAAUAUACUGUAAUAAACCAUAAUAGAAAAGAAAAUGAAAAAGCUGAAUAAUUUUGCUGUACAGCUGAAACUAACCCAACAUUGUAAAUCAACUAUACUUCAAUAAAACACAUUUCAAAAAUAAAUUAUGUCUCCUU